CAGCUGUCUGCCUGGUCUUCUCUGAUCUUGUGGCAUAAUCUCCAACUCAGAAACAGCCAUCUUUACCCAACGGGAGCAGGAGCCAUCAGACACUGUUUCUUACCUUUCCUUGCCUGGACAGUUCUGAGAUACUUCAUUAAACUUGUCAGAAGCUUGCACAAAUCGGAGCCCCAUUUCCCUAAGGGUUUCCAAUGCCUCAAGGAGGAUGCCUCACUGGGGAAACCCCACCAAGGCUGCUGCUGCCUGCUUUUUUCCCCACUCUCCUUUCUUCCUUUCAUCUAUUCAUUCUUCAACUGCAGGGAAUACGGCAGUGAAGAGUGUGCAAUCUUUGCCCUUGGAAACAUAGAAUCUUGCACAAUGAACAGACUUAUUUCUACUAAACUGUGCUUGUAUUACAUGCUGCACGCACUAAGCAGAGAUAGAAGCUAAUCUGGGGGACCCAGUGACUAUUCUCUAUCACUUGCACAUCAGUGAAUUUUAAAAAACCUGCUGAUGCACAAGUGAUAGAGAAUUAUGGUCAGAAGAAGCAGAUGGGAGAAACCCUGAGAUGGACAGAGGUUGCUCCUUGUAAAGCAGAGCCAGGAGGGAGCCGGGAGCCAAGAGAGGGAACUGAGAGGAAACCUGGGAUUUGACUGAGCAGGAUUUUGCAGAUGCUGUUCAGAUUUUUUAUAUUAAAAUCCAAGGAAAUGAAACCUACUGAAGCUCUUAGGCAGCAGAGUGGUGUGACUUGACCUGAAUUUAUAUCUUCAUGUUGUCUGAAGAAUGAGGAGGUGAAGAAGAAAGUUCAGGAGGCUUUUGUGUCAGACCAAGGGAGCCCAGGAGACCUCCCAAGAAUGGGGAGCAACAGCUGGAGGCAGGUGUACCCCAGAAGAGGGUCCAGGUUCGGGGUGGACCCAGGUAUCAUCAACACCGACGUCAUGUCCACAGCCUUCUCCAUAGUUGAGACUGCCCAGGACAGGACUAGAGAGUGAGGAAAAUUGCUUAUUUCAGUACUUUCAACCCUUAAUUAGGAUUGAAAGAUGAGAUUAGUAGAGGUGACAGGAGAGGAAGGAAAAAGGACCAAGGAGAAAAUCAAACUAAAUUCCAAAUCUGAAAUCCGGGAAUGGCUGGCUCGCUGGAGCUGGUCUCGCGCUGGCACAUCUGACUGGCAUGAACACAUUUUGCCCUCUGUCUUUCUGGUAAACUUUAAUUCACCCUUCAAGUAGUGCGCCAUGAAUCAGCUCUGAGAAUACCUCCCUAAGUUAACUCAAAGCAAACCGCGCUUCCCACUGUGUCUGCACGUCUGCUGAAGCGAUCACUGCUCCCUCUUACGUUUCCUUGUGCUGUGUCCACUGUGUGUGGACUGUGAGUUCUCUGAAGCCAGGUCAGGGUGCCUUAUUCAUUCCUGUAUGCCCAGUCAUUAAAUUAGGCAUUCGAUGAACGAUAUUGACUCAGCAGUUAUUAAAGUUCACAUCCAGACUUUGUCUUUUCGGCAUAAUAUCUAUUCACUCCUGAAAUCUGAAUUAUAAAAUUUCUUGUUCUCGAUUAAUGGCACAUAACACAAGAUUGCUGUAGAGAAGGAUACACAAAGACAGUUCUAUCUGAACUCUGUAUCCUUUUAAUUUAUCUCUCUCAGAUAAAUGUGCCCAGGUUAUCCCCUUCUUUUCUCUGAAACUAAAUGGAAGUUCAAUGUGGAUUUUCUCCUAAUCAUAUAAUAGUACACAUGUAAGAAUUGUUCAGAAGGCAACUGUUAAUUGACUAAAUAACUCUUAUGAACUAUUUUUAAUAAACAAACCAAUCACUUUUGCA
rnacentral:lncRNA from 13 species